rnacentral:rRNA from 1 species
GAUGAACGCUGCCGGCGUGCCUAAUACAUGCAAGUCGAGCGAACAGAUGAGGAGCUUGCUCCUCUGACGUUAGCGGCGGACGGGUGAGUAACACGUGGAUAACCUACCUAUAAGACUGGGAUAACUUCGGGAAACCGGAGCUAAUACCGGAUAAUAUAUUGAACCGCAUGGUUCAAUAGUGAAAGACGGUUUUGCUGUCACUUAUAGAUGGAUCCGCGCCGCAUUAGCUAGUUGGUAAGGUAACGGCUUACCAAGGCAACGAUGCGUAGCCGACCUGAGAGGGUGAUCGGCCACACUGGAACUGAGACACGGUCCAGACUCCUACGGGAGGCAGCAGUAGGGAAUCUUCCGCAAUGGGCGAAAGCUUGACGGAGCAACGCCGCGUGAGUGAUGAAGGUCUUCGGAUCGUAAAACUCUGUUAUUAGGGAAGAACAAAUGUGUAAGUAACUAUGCACGUCUUGACGGUACCUAAUCAGAAAGCCACGGCUAACUACGUG